rnacentral:rRNA from 1 species
CCUUCCCUAGGCCAAGGAGCCGGUAUCAGACACAACUACAGUCCACAACACCUAGUCUCACCACACCCCCAAGGGUACUCAGCAGUGAUAAAUAUUGAGCAUAAGCGAUAGCUUGACUCAGUCAGAGAAAAGAGAGCCGGCCAACCCGGUGCCAGCCGCCGCGGCUACCCCGUGGGCUCGAGUUGAUGAUCAUCGGCGUUAAGCGUGAUUAAAGUUCAUCUAGAUUAGGGCCAAACUAAUACUUAGUAGUAAAAAGCUUGUUAUUAAGAAGAACAUAAACGAAAGUUGCCCUAACUCACAUACUUGAAUACACGACAGUUGGGAAACAAACUAGGAUUAGAUACCCUACUAUGCCCAACCGUAAACAAUUAACCUACAUCUAUAAGCGCCUGGGAACUACGAGCUAUGCUUAAAACCCAAAGGAUUUGACGGUGUCCCACCCAACUAGAGGAGCCUGUUCUAUAAUCGAUGAUCCCCGAUAUACCUAACCACCCCUAGCUCAUCCGUCUGUAUACCUCCGUCGAAAGCCUACCAUGUGAACGUUUACAGUAGGCCCAAGGACCCACAUUAGCGCGUCAACACGUCAGGUCAAGGUGCAACUUAAGGAGUGGGAAGUAAUUGGCUACAAUUUCUAAUCUAGAACAAACGAAAGACAGUGUGAAAUCACAGUCACGAAGGCGGAUUUAGCAGUAAAAAGAAAAUAGAGAGUUCUUUUUAACCCGGCUCUGGGACGCGUA